GUUAGAUUUUAACCUGUUGGGGUGGAGCGAAUACCACGGCGCCUCUAUGCUUGGACAUGAGUGCUGCAUAACAGCUUCUCUAUUGAAGAGACACGAGAUGUAUAUGAAUCAGUUUUCCUGUCUCCGAAAGAAAGUGGCUAUUACCAGUACUACAUGAAGGGUAUAUACUUGAAUAUGUCUGCCAUUAGAUACGCAACCUGCAAACUGGAAUUGGAUGACCUUCACGGUUAGUUAAUAUAGAUACCAAGUACAUGGUAUUUUUACAAGACAAGUGGAGUCCAGCAAUACUGGCAGUGGAGCAGACAUCAUCAUUUCAAAACUCCAGCUCAGAAGACAAAACUUCAAUAUAAGUGAUACCCUGAAUCAGUUGUGAAUAGUCUGCAGAAAGAAUGAUUGCUGACUGUGUACAGUACCUGUGGCUCCUGGGCAGCAGUGCACAUGUAGUGUAUAAGGCUAUAUUGAUUGUCCCUUUAAGUGGAAAUCCAUAAAGAUGAUAAGCAUGUUUGCAUCACACGUGCAAUAUCAAUAGGCUUCUGAUCAAGAAGAACCAUUCAUGUAGAUGUUACAGUAAUAUACACUGGUCACAGUUCUGCCAUGCUCAGCAGAGUAUGACAAAAUACAAUAGGUCUGGUUAUAGCUACAUGCAGCCUUCCAGUGCAUAGUGACACAUGUUGUGACUGAUUGUCUAAUAUUGUUAAACCUGUUUUACUGAUAAUAUUAGGCACCAUAAUACAAACUAGAUAAAUUUAUUUGUGAGAGUCUAUAUACAGGAAACUGCAUUAGUCAAGAGCAGAAAGGUUCAUUACAUUCAUUCCCAAGAAACAGCAGAUAAAUUAGUUCUUCACUAUGCAUUAUAGAGUUAAUUAUUUUAAUUUAUAUCAAUAAUAUAUUAGACAAUUAAGAGAAAUCACUGUUAUCAUUUCAAGGAAUUAUUAGCUGAGUUUCUUAAUUCUAUUAUUGAAAUUAUUCUUCAUUCCUGAUACAGUAUUUCUCUAUGUGUAAAAUAACUUAAUAUUUGUAACAACAAAUAAUUACACUUUUAAUUCCAUGCUACUUUGUUCAGAUCAGCAGAUUUUCCAAAAAGCUUGCAAAAAAUUCUGAAAUUUGAAAGAAUCUUUUAAGUAUAUUUCAGCAAUUUAAAUUCAAUAAUUUGUUGGUAUGUAUAUAUUUUAUUCUUGUAAACUUCAGUAAUUAAUAAUAUAGUAAAUGUAUGCAUAUUCUUGGGGAACAGGGAAUACAUUUACUGUAUUGUAUUGUAUUGUAUAUUUAUUGGUCCUGUGAAUUAUAAACUGUACAGGGGUACAUAAUGAUAUAGGGCAAGCCAAAUAAUUUGCUAUAAAGUUUAACAGAAAAACUGUUGUAUGGCUUUCAGUAUAUAAAAAUAUAACUCUUAAUGUAUGGGAAUAACAUUUCACAAAUACACAAAUAAAUUUUACAUGCGUACAUUUCAUACUUUCGACCUUGAUUAUACAGACACACACAUAUAUGUAAUAGACCACAUAUAAUAAGCUGUAAACUAUAAAGCUGAGAAUCUCCCUUCUGAAAUUAUUGAAUUGAUGGAGAAAAUGAAAGAUUGCUAUAUACUUUUUUAGAGAUACUAAACUACAAUAUUUCUCAACAAAAUAUAAACUGCCCAGAAAAACAUACAGAGAGUCCUUGACUGACUGUGAAAUAAGGAACUCUAGCUGUAUCAGUAAAACUGCCUGGAAAAUAAUGCAUAAAGAAAGUGGGAAACAGAAUUCCUAUGAACACAACAACAUAACAUUAAAAGAAAAUGGUGAAGAAAUAAAUGACCCAAAAGAAGUCUGUGAGAAAUUUAUAGAAAAGUUCAGUACAGUUGGUACAAAUGAACUUCAAGUCAAGCCACUAAAUUUUAGUCUUGGAAAAUUGAGCCAGUCCUUUUAUAUCCACAGCAUUACUGAGAGGUACAUCCUAGCAAUCAUAUCAGCACUUUGACCAAAAAUGUCUUGUGGCCGGGAUGACAUUUCACCUAAACUGCUAAAGGAAUGCAGGGAUGAAUUAGUGAAACCCCUGACUCACUUGAUAAGUACCUUCCUCAGAAAUGGAGUAUUCCCUGACCUUUUGAAAAUUACUGAAAUUAUACCAGUGCAUAAAAAUUGAUUAAAAACUGACACUAAAAACUACAGGCCAGUAUCAUUAACCUCAGCACUAGGCAAAUUGUUAGAGAGAGUAAUACUAAAUCAAGUUGAAUCAUAUUCCACCAAAUACAAUCUGUUAAACAACCUACAACAUGGAUUUAGGAAAGGGAGAUCUACUACAACAGCAGUAGCAUCUUUUAUACUUGAAAUAUUAAAUAAGCUGGACAGAAGUGACAAGGUAAUAGGCACUUUCCUAGAUAUGAGUAAAGCCUUUGAUACUGUGAAUCAUGCCAUUCUUCUGUGUAAGCUAGAAGAGUACAGUUUGAGAGGACUAGCCUUGAAACUACUUACUUCCUAUUUGAAAGACAGGAAACAGUGUGUAAAGCUAACUUAUCAAAAUAAUGAGCAGCUCCUAACAACCAAAUCAAACUUCAGUACACUUCAAUGUGGUGUACCUCAAGGAAGCAUACUAGGGCCUUUUCUGUUCCUUGUAUAUGUAAAUAAUUUAUUUGAACCCCAAAAUUGCAUGGUUGUAAGCUAUGCCAAUGACAUAUCCUUCAUCAGCUGUGGCAGUGAUAUGCAGUCAGCAGCUAAAAGUACCGUGAUCAGUUUCAAUACUCUGUCCACAUACCUUACAGCAAACAAGCUUCUUGUAAAUAAAGACAAAAUGGUAAUAAUGAAGUUCAUUCACAGUUAUAAUGUGCCAUAACUGGCACUGUAUUUACAUCCCCAUUGGGUGUUGCAUAUGCAAAUUCACAUAAAUUUUUGGGCAAUAAAUUUUUGGGCAUCGUUGUUGAUGAACACUUAUCAUGGAAAGACCAUGUAGAUAAAAUUUGCAAGAAAAUCAGUAGAAAUGUAUAUCUACUGAAAUGGGUCUCAGCCUUCUUGGACCAUGAUACUUUAAGGCAAAUAUAUUUUGGGUUAAUUCAUCCGCACCUUCAGUAUGGUAUUGAGAUAUGGGGUGGAGCAUCAGCAGUUCAUAUAGAUACACUUUUAAGAUUAGAAAAAAAAAGGCAGUAAGAAUGGUAGCCAAGCUAAAGAAGAGAGAGCCUUGUAGAGACAUCUUUAGAAAAUAUAAAAUUCUUAUGGUGUACUCCAUGUAUAUAUUGCAGACAGUCAUGUUCGUGAAACAAAAUCCUGAAUUUAAUAUGAGAAACAGUAAUGUUCACAACUAUUAUACACAGGGAAGGGAAAAUUUUCAUAGAAUUGUGACCAAUAAAAAGGCAACGGACCACAGCCCAAACUGAAUGGGAGCAAUUUUCUACAAUGCACUACCCUGUGAACUCAAGAAAGUAAAUCUAAAUAUGCUAAAGAGUAUACUGAAGCAAUUAUUAAUAGAGAAGUGUUGUUACUCUAUAGAGGACUUUAAGUUGUAGUGCCAUCUUGGAAAACAGUGUAUAUAGAAAAUGGGUCCGAUCUAUCAGUGCUAUGAAAGAAUGUAAUUAUACACUGUAUUAUGUGUACUGUACUAUUACAAACAUAAGCUAAAUUGUGUUUCACUAUAGAGGAAUCUACUUGUAGUGCAGUUUUGAAAAAUAAUGUAUACAGACACGUGUCUGAUCCAUAUGUUGUUAUGGAAGAAUGUAAAUAUUUUACUGUAUAUGUGUAAUUAAUCUAAAUUUUCCUGACAAUGUCCGAAAACUUUUUGUUAUAUGGACAGAAAAUAAAUAAAUAAAUAAAUACACAUAUAAAUCUACAUGGAGUACACAUAAAAUUGUAUUAUUGUACUUCAUAGUUGCAUGUUCUCAAUAUAACUACAAUGAACACCCAUACUAGUACAUCAUCUGUACAAAUGGCUUGGCCUUAUUUGUAAUGGAUCUUAUGUAUGUCCAUUUGGGUUCAUUUCCUAAAUAGUUACUAUUUCUUGUAAGCUAAGCACAUUAGCAUGUUAUAGCAGCUGUAUUUCCAUAGAGGUAUAUUUUUUACAUUUACCAGUCUUUUGCAACUCAUGUAUUAAGUAUUAAAUAAACCAACCUGUUACAAAUGUGUCAACAUUGUUAAUAAGUGAACAAAUGAAGGCUUAUCUGUCUAUCUAGCCAUUCAUGUUUUGUGGGUCCCAUCAUGAAAGAGACUAGGAAUAACCACAUGAACACACCAUUACUUUGCAUCAAACAAUAGUUAAUAUUGUUGUGAUAAGAACAAAGGCCCAUCUAUGAUUAUCUUUACUACUGUGACUCUCAGCAAACCAAUGCUAUCACAGACACUGAUGCUAGUAUAUCUGCAACUGCUGACGUGCAGCUGUGGGUAUGGAUGGUGCAGCUAGUGGGGGCACUGAAGUGAGAAUUCUAUACUUCUCUGUCUCAUGGGGACCCAUACUUGGCAAAUUGUUCUUUAUUUUAUACACAAAUCAUUUCUGAAAUAUUGUUAAUUAUGGCAAUGUAGCUACUCACAUGGUUGAAAUAACUCUAUUAUUCAACUAUGUGGGCAGAGGAAACUUGGAAAUAAAAGCCAGCUUGAAAGUAAAGAUUUGCAAAAAUAAAUUUUAAUAGUACUGUACAUUGCUUAAAGAUUUUGUUUGAAUUUCAGGCUAAAAAAACAACAUAUUAAGAUAUCAGUAUUUGCAUAGAUGAGUAAGUAGAAGAAAACAUUGCAUGUACAAAAUUCCUUGGGAUAAUAAUUGAUGAAAAUGUAAAUUGGGAGAAACAAUGUGGCAAACCUCACUUCCAAGUUCUAUGUUCUGCACAAACUCAGGAAUGUAAAAGUCAUAAAUAAUAUGAAAUUGACACAUAAAUUUGUUCUUCAUUAAGUUUUACCGUAAUUUUCUGGGGAAACAUCUCCAGAAUGAAUACUGAUAGUGUACUCAAAUUGCAGAAAAGAGCAAUAAGAAUUAUAGCUAACCAUUAAAAGAAAAGCAUCAGGUAGACCAGCAAUUAAAGCACUUAAGAUACUAGCACUACCAAGCAUAUUCCUACAUUAAAUCAUAUGCUGGCCCAAAUUCAAAUAUGUUCCUGAUGCUCACGAUAUUAAGACAUGAAAAAUCCAUCAAAAAGAAACUAAAUUUCUUCCAUGAGUACAGAAACAUCACCAUGCACUUAAAAUCAAUCCCAUCCUAUACAGUAACAAAAGCAUAGAAAAAACCCAUCAGAUUUUAGAGAUAAAUGAUAAAAACAGUUUUAAAAAAUUCUCUCAGAACAUUUUUGAUAGAAAACUGUUUAUAUGUCGAGGAUCAUAUUAUGUGCACAAUAGUGUAAGAAGUAUUGCAACAGAGUACUGAAUAAAAAUUAGAUGUAGCAUGUGUAAAUCGCAAAACAUAUUCUUAAAAGAGAGAUAAACUUUUCAGCCAUAGAGAAAUAUAUGUACAUGGAGUACAGCUGAUGUACUGUAAGCAAAAUUGUAAUUUAAUAUGGUAUAGGCCAAGCAUAUUUAUGCAAUACUAAAUGCUAGUUAUUAGACAUAUGUAUACCUUUAAAAGCUUGUGACACAAAUGUGACCUGAUCCUUAUAAUGUAUGUUGUUUAUGAAUAGAAUAAACAUUAUGUUACAUUUACAGGGUUUCUCAAUUUUGUGCUUUAUGUAAGAUGAGAGUUUGUUGAAGAUUUUUACGCCAGAGAGGACCCUUUUCAUAGAGUGCUGUUUCAUGCUGCUGAUGUAAAUUGCUUUCUUUAUUUCUGGGACUGUA